rnacentral:lncRNA from 1 species
AGACAGACAGACAGACAGACAGACAGACAGACAGACACUGCCUCCGGCCUACACAGUCACACAAGCACAGCAGGUGGCUCUGUCCUGCGUUCCUCCACCGCCCCAGGCCAUGGCCUCUAAAGCACUCCUCUGGGACCCCACCAGAGAACCAGAGAACCAGCGACCCAGAGGACCAGAGAACCAGAGACCCAGAGACCCAGAGGACCAGAGACCCAGAGAACCAGAGACCCAGAGACCCAGAGACCCAGAGGACCAGAGACCCAGAGGACCAGAGACCCAGAGAACCAGAGAACCAGAGACCCAGAGACCCAGAGGACCAGAGACCCAGAGACCCAGAGACCCAGAGACCCAGAGACCCAGAGACCCAGAGACCCAGAGACCCCAGAGACCAAGAGACCAAGAGACCCAGAGAACCAGAGGACCAGAGAACCAG